AGGAAGGGAACCCGGUGAACUGAAACAUCUAAGUAGCCGGAGGAAGAGAAAACAACAUGUGAUUCUGUGAGUAGCGGCGAGCGAAAACGGAAGAGCCCAAACCGGGAUGCGUGCAUGCUGGGGUUCGGACCGCGGAAUUGAUUCAACGAGUUUAGCAGAACAGUUUUGGGAAAGCCGGCCAGAGAGGGUGAAAGCCCCGUAAGCGAAAGACGAGUUGACAUGGCGGAUCCAGAGUACCACGAGACACGUGGAACCUUGUGGGAAUAUGCGGGGACCACCCGUAAGGCUAAAUACUCCUUAGUGACCGAUAGCGCAUAGUACUGUGAAGGAAAGGUGAAAAGGACCCCGGGAGGGGAGUGAAAAAGAACCUGAAACCAUAUGUUUACAAGCUGUGGAAGAGCUUUAUAUGCUCAACCGCGUACUUUUUGUAGAACGGUCCGGCGAGUUACGCUGGCUGGCGAGGUUAAGUCCUUAAGGGAUGGAGCCGAAGGGAAACCAAGUCUGAAUAGGGCGAAGAGUCAGUCGGAGUAGACCCGAAACCGGGUGAUCUAUCCAUGUCCAGGUUGAAGUUGCCGUAAAAGGCAAUGGAGGUCCGAACCCACAUCCGUUGAAAAGGGUGGGGAUGAGGUGUGGAUAGGGGAGAAAUUCCAAUCGAACCCGGAGAUAGCUGGUUCUCCUCGAAAUAGCUUUAGGGCUAGCCUCAUACAAGUCUUGCGGAGGUAGAGCACUGAAUUUCCUAGGGGGCGUCAAAGCUUACCGAAGAAUAUCAAACUCCGAAUGCC
rnacentral:rRNA from 1 species